AUGGAAAAUUUUCAAGCAUCACUUAGUCCCUAUUUGAAAGCAUUGCUAAAUACCCAAGAUACCAGAGUGAAAGGAUCAUUUCUUUUGGACAAUUACAUACCUACAUUUAUCUGUUCCAUCACGUAUUUACAAAUUGUAUGGCUGGCACCAAAAUACAUGAAGAAUAGAUAGCCAUUGUCUUGUUGGGGUAUUUUAGUGGUGUAUAACCUUGGACUCAUGCUGCUGUCUCUCUGUAUGUUCUUUGAGUUAGUAACAGGAGUAUAGAAAGGGAGAUACAACUUCUUCUGUCAGAGCACCCACAGAACAGGAGUCAGAUAUGAAGAUUACCUGUGUCCUCUGGUGGUACUACUUCUCCAAAUGGAUUGAAUUUAUGGACACCUGCUUCAUCCUGCAUAAGAACCACCACCAUCCUGCAUAUCUACCACCAUGCCUCUAUGCUGAACAUCUGGUGGUUUGUGAUAAACUGGGUUCCCUAUGGCCACUCUUAUUUUGGUACCAGACUCAACAGCUUCAUCCAUGUCCUCACAUACUCAUACUACAGUCUGUCUUCAGUCCCUUCCAUGCGUCCUUACCUAUGGUGGAAGAAGUACAUCACUCAGAGACAGUUGCUUCAGUUUGUGCUGACAAUCGUCCAGACCAGAUGUGGGGUCAUCUGGCAGUGCGCAUUCCCUCUUGGUUGGUUGUAUUUCCAGAUCAAACACAUGAUUUCUCUGAUUGCUCUCAUCACAAACUUCUAUAUUCAGAUCUACAAUAGGAAGGGGGCCUCCUACAGGAAAGACAACCUGAAGGACCACCAGAAUGGGUCCAUGGCUGCUGUGAAUGGACACACCAGCAGCUUUUCUUUCCCACAAAACAAUGUAAAGCCAAGGAAGGAUUGAAAUCCAAGAGUUGAAAACCUCCAAACCAUGUCAUCUGAUUGUAAGCACAAUAUGAGUUGUGCCCAAUGCACCUUAACAGCUGCUGUAACUAGUCCAGCCUAUAAUAGCGUGACUCACGUAGGACCCUUUUCAUCAGUUCAAAACCCUUAGAAAGCGCAUACAGAUUACACAGGAGGUUAAGAUUUCUAACAUUUCCGGGCUCUCAUCAACCCUGACUCUGUACUAAACUGUGGAAAGGGAGUAUUGUUGUAGUAUACAACACUGCUGUUGCCUUAUUAGUUAUAACAAGAUAGGUGCUGAAUUGUGAUUCACAAUUUAAAAACACUAUAAUCCAAACUUUUUUUUUUACUGUAGAUCAUGCAUGUGAUUGUAAACGUAAAUUUGUACAAUGUUGUUACGGUAGAGAAACACAUAUACAUUAAAAUUUAAAAAGCAGGGCCC